rnacentral:tRNA from 1 species
CCUGGUGGCUCAGAGGGUAAAGCGUCUGCCUGCAAUGCAGGGGACCCGGGUUCGAUCCCUGGGUCAGGA